UCCGCUGAAUCGGAGAGCUGAAUACUCAUUCCAGUCCGACCGAGUGGAGAAACUGGGUAUGUGAGAGCAGUUUGCAGUGAAAAAGACGCAGAUUUGUUUGAUCUGAUCUGGAUUUCUGAGGAUGAACGGAUGAUGGUAGAGUUAUAAAGGACAUCGGCGCAUCAUUCUGGACGGAGAGGAAUGGACGUGUUUUCAGUUGUUAAGGUAAAACAGUGAACCAAUGAAGUGGAGUACCACCCUGUGUCGAACCCCGUGUCGAACAAAAAGUCACCUUGGCCCCGCUGCCCGAAGAGUUCAAAGCGAAAGAGGGACUUCAAGAGAGGGAAAGUGACAUCUCUUGAUUUUCAUUCCCACCGGGGAGGCUGGAAGGCCAGAAGACUUGUUAGCCAUGAAAGUGUGACGUUAUAAAGUAAGAGUCCU